UCUACCAUUCAUUUUAACAGAAGAGACCCGUCUCGGCUUAUAAAAUAAAGGGAAAGGCCGUGCUGUAAUACCACAGUUAUCCUGCAUGUGGCAGUAAGAGGCGCGUCGCUUUAAGAUCCAAACGGCACAGGAAAUUAGUUCAUCAGCCGGAGACGAGAUACACACGAAAAACGAUAACAAAUGGUGAAAUUCUUCAAUUAAUCGGGAUUUCUGAGCCGAUUUCUCAUCUGAACGAGUGCGUCUGUGGAGCCACAUCGGACUGAGUCGAUUGUGUGAUUUUAUUGCCUGUAAAAUGUCGUUUUUGUUCCCAAGCGGCAGCGCGGAAAAGCGCAAAUCAACCAAGAGACAAUUCACAGAGUAUCAACAUUGACAAACAUGGGUGUAGAUUCAGAUACCAACAGAUUCUCCACUGGAACAUUGUGUACUUGGGAACGAUAGCUGAUGCCAGCACAGAAAUCCUGCCUGAUAAGACUAUGAGUUCUGCUGCUGUACAGAAUACAGGUCCAUUGGUUUGUUUUUCUGUUCACAAGAAUAUCGGUGAAAUAUCUUAAUAUAUAUCGGUAAAGUAAUUAUGGGUCAGUGUAUCACGCUUAUAUUUCCUUUUUUCAAAUAUUCCAGCGAAUUUUGUACAAAAUAAUUGUUCCUUUCAUUUCUGCAUUGUUGCACGUCCUUACAUAAUUUUUUUUAUUUUUCUAAACAGACUCUUUGUGAAAAUAAAGUCACAUUGGCUGCAAUCAAAGACACUUCAGAUGUUACGGAUAGCAGCAAUGAAUGUUCACUUCUGUCCCAACUUUGUGCAUUAUAAUGUACAUAAUUUAAUUUCUAUUUAAAUGCUGUGUAAAUAAAUGUAUAAAGAGAAACUCUUUAGAAAUGUUAUGUAUAUAACCAGGCCCUCAAAGACAGCCAUCAUUCACAAUGUACUUACACAUCCCCCUUCCAUUAGCAUGUUUGUUCAUUAAAUUUUGUUUUUGCUAAUUCGAUAAUGCUUUCAGCUAUUAAAGAGUGUAGUACUCUAAGCUUUAAAACAUUUGACCAUUUUUGCAGACUCCUCCAAUAUCAGCUCAGAAAAUGCUAUUUUCAAGAGCAUUGUUCGCCCAGAUCAUAUUUAAACACAGUAAGCUGUCCAUUAGGCCUAGAAUAUACUUCCUGCCCCUGGUCUGGGCUUACAUAUAACAUUUAAAAUAACAUGCGUGCGAGAGUAUGAAAUGAAAGCAGACUUUUGUAAUGUUAUUUAUUAAUUUUUUGCAUUGCUGGUACACUUGGAAAUGGUCAGUUGCCAGCUCUAGUGAACAAUAAGCAACGAAAGCCAAGCAGCCGCCCCUCAUGUCUUCGGUCAGGGCAACAUCACAUCUUUUUUUUUUUAAACUCCUUUAAUUUUGUUGAAGCCACUAGUAAACCAUUUUGACAGCUGAGAAAGGUUAAGCGUUACAGUCCAAGGUCAUUGUAGAUGUUUUUUCUUAAACAAACAAAAAUGCAACAGUUUGGGAGAACAAACACUGACAAAGCAACAAACCUACAUUUUGAUUGUGCAAAGCACAGAACUAUAAAAAGAUAUAUUUAUAUACAGCAAACGAUUCUCUGUAAACAUGUUAAGUAUGUUAGUUUUUCAGAAAACAUGGUCAUAUCAUAAAUACAGGCAACAUUGGCAUCGGCAAACGUCACAAAAAAAAAAAUAAAAAAAUUUAACAUUCUGGGCUUUUAAGAUCCAGCCUGAUACCACAGAAACCAAAGGAAUCUGGGUAAAAAACAAAAACAAAAAAACAACACCCCAAUCCUACCAGGACCAUUUAUUAGUGUUUAUAAUGGCGUAUUUGGUAACCUCUGCAGAAAGAAGAUACAGUUAAACUCUAUAGGAAAGAAAAAAUGUGCUUCACAUCUUGGGAAAAUUAUGUUUUAAUAAUAAGCCUAUAUUUCGCUAGCAUAUACAGUAAUGGUAUAAUGUGUAAGAAAAUACAAAAAUAAGAUUAAUACUGUCAAUAUUUGUACAAGAAAUAUAUUGUAUUUGAAAGGAAUAACAUUUUAUCUUUAUUGUAUGUGUUAGUGUCUUUCGGAAGGAAGCCAAACGGAAAAACAAAAGCACAUGGAGGAUUUUGGCCAUACAAAUUUUUUUCUACAUAUGUAUAACUACUACUACAGCUCCCAAACGGCAUUUCUUUAUAUUUCAAGCACUUUAUAUUUCAUUUCCCCCUUCUAAACAAUACUUUGGUUAGAGAAAAUACCUGCAAGUGCUAUUCAAAACAACAUGGCACACAGUUUACUUACUAACAUCCUUUUUUCCAUUUUUAUUUUUAUUUUUAAUCUGUCAGAUGUUGAAAAAAAGUAGUAUAUUUCUUUCAAAUGACACCUCUGCUAUGAUUAUUAUAUUUCUGCUGAGCCUGCUCAAAGCCUCUUCAUAAAAAGUAAAUAUUUAUAGUUAUUUUUUUUUCUUUUCUAUUUUGAGUCAUAUACAAGCUAUGGAACAGUUAGCUGCGAGCUGCAUUCUGGCUCAUCCGACAUGAGAUUUGGCAGUUACAGCUAUUUAAACACAGUAUUGUUAUGGGGGCAUGUCCGGUUAUCGAACCAGGACAUCCCAAAUCUUCGUAAUGCGGCUGCAGUAGCGCGCUAUGAGUGAGGACAAUGGCCAUGCAAAUCAAAAACUUGUCUCGGGAAACACAGCGUGUAAACGCAAACCUGCAACACCCAGCAUGACUGAGGACUUCUAGAAAGAACGAGAAUUUAGUACAAGGCGCUUUGCGCUGUUGGUUCAAAGUUCUAGAAUGUGUUUCAGUGGUGCUAUGGAAAUCGGGCUAAACCGGCUGCCAGUGUAAUGGUCUGACUAGCUGCUUUGAACAUGAAUCAUGUAUUGUUUUGGACAGCAUGAAAGGCAGUUACGUUUGUUUGGGGGAUUUUCACACGCAUGUGUGUACAAAAAUGUAAUUAACCACUAACUUUAAAUGCAAAUUUCCCUAUAAAAACACUAAAAAUCUAAUUUACAAGGUUGGAGUCUUGACCAGAGUCGUGUAGUUUUGCGCAAAA